AAACUCGACUGCCAGAACAAGCGCCGCGUAGUUUCUGUGCUCCAGGUCCGCUACCUGGUGAAACUUGAUUUCCAGGACAAGCGCUCCGUAGUUUCUGCGCUCCAGGUCCGCUACCUGGUGAAACUUGACUUCCGGGACAAACGCUCAUUUAUUAGUAUUUGGAGUACAACCCGAGGUGGUUUGCGGUGGUCGUUGGAGGUGGUUGGCGGUGUUUGGAGGUGGUCGGACGUGGUUAGGGGUGGUUGCGGCUGAUCGAGGUGGACAAGGAGAACAAGGUGGACGAGGAGGACGAGGAUUUUUGCACGGUAUAACUCGAGGUGGCUAUCAGUGGUUGUUGGAGGUUGUUGGCGAUGGUUGGGUGUGUUCGGAGGUGGACGAGGAGGAGAAGAGAAAUACGAGGACAGCAAGAUGGACGAGGAUGACUAUUAUUAUAAUCUUUUUUACCAGUUCAUUUGUUCAAAACUUUUUUAUUAGAUAGUGAGAUUUGAUGCAGUAGGAGUAGGAUCAGAAAUGAAAGCAGCCAGCAUUAUCUCGAAAUCGUCAACUCUCUGAUGUUCUGCAAUAAGUUCUCAACUCUACCGUUGGAACAUCUCUGGGGGCGCAAGCGCACGACAAUUUUCGGUUGUCACACCAAAACCCAUAAGGGGCAACUAUCUUUAUAUUCUUCUGUCACGCGUGAAGAAAUCGAUCCUGAAAAUGAUGGUGACGCCUGUUCGAUGUCAGCUGGUGACAAAAAUGUGUGGCGGGUAACCUAACAUUAAGGUUUGACUUUUAGGCCGCAUAGAUAGUGAAUUUUGUGGCGUGUGUGAUUGAAAAUGAUUAAUACAUUUUAUCGGUCUGUAAGUUUAAAACAAAAUUUCAUGCCAUCAAUUGAAAUAUCUAGAUUUGCACCGGUAAAUAGUGUUUGCGUCUGAAUUCUACAACGAUCCAUCGGGUGUCAGUAUGGAACGUAACUUGUAUAAUACAGUGAACUGUAAUAUAUUACAGUCGAGGUCAUAUAGCAAUGCAAAAGGAUGAAUAAAUAUUAAAUAAUGAAUCUGAAUAUUACAUCAGUAAGAAAAAGUGCAACGAAUAUUGUCUGAUGCUAAAAAUGUGGAAUAUUGUGUAACGCAGUGAUUAUCGUGAAUUAGAGGUAUUACUCAAGUAAUGACCUGCGUGCAGGUGCAAUGCUCUUUCGCAGAACAUAACAUGAAUGAUACUCUAACAUUAGUACUUGAUGCAACAUGGAUUAAAAUGAAUAAAUGAUUGAAAAUUUG